GAGAGUACACUUCUUUCUUCUUGAGCCUAGUUCUGGGCCUGAAAUCAGGAAAGAUCUAUUUACUCCUUUUCUGAUGUGGUGGGAGAUGGGGGCUGAUAAGGAAACCUGCCAUGGGAAUGCGAAAACCUCCACCUUGCCGUCAGUUCAUCUGGUGGUAUAUCCCUGAGGCUUCCAUUUCUCUUGGGUUAUCUUUGCAAGGUGGUUAUGCCAGAGGAUCACAGGUGAGCAGUGUCAACUCUCACCUUUCCUAUAAGAGCCCCAGAGGAAAGGUGAAUUUGGAUGACAAGAGCCAGGGCUCUGAGGUCCUUCUCAAGUGGAGAGCUCCUCUCCAGGGACAGCCUGGGAGAUGAGGGUGGAAUUGUAUUAGUGAACAGCAGCAUUUCUCAGAAGUUCCUGGGUGUAUGGGAGGGGACAUCCACACACAGAGUUCCCAUCUCCCAGAAUAAUAUUACUACUGGAGAUGUGUGGCCUCUAACAUUCAGACCCAGCAGCCACCACUCCUAAAGCCAGCAUCACCCUCUGUAGCUCACUCCAGACCUCAUCUGGAACAGCCUCUGUUCUUCAAGGAAACCAGGAAGGAAUUUUCCACUUUACACAGCCCCAGAUCAAUACCAAACAAGCAUGUGUUAGAGGGAAGUUUAUAAAUAAAAAACAGGACCAAGUGCCGAGGAAAGGUCAACCAACCAUGACGUGGCAGGAAGUGGUCUGCGUCACUAUGGGGUGCUGAUGGGUGUGGGGGGCCCUGGGGACUGAGGCUCCCUGAGCACAUUCCAUAUUUUGGCAGGCCAGCUCCUCAUGGCAUCCCACGGUUUGCCAAGCACUUUUCACAUGUAUAUCUUCAUCUUGCUUGGUCCUCCGGGGAAAGACCACACCUUCCCGGUCCCUUUAUUUAAUGUGACUGGGUCUUUCCCAGGGCCUCUCUCAUGAGCCGACUCAGGGUAUUUGAGGGGAGAUACCAAAGGUAGUGGGUUUUGUGGCUGACUCAGUCAUUAUGGGAAGGUGAAUGUAAAGGUAACCCAGCGACUCAGCACCUGUAUUUCACCUCUCUGGUCCAAUCUCCGCUCGCAGCCCUACCUCCAGGUCAGUCCCUGGGGAUUCCCAGGGGGGUCUCUAAUUCCCUCAAGCCAGGGUCUUGGAAAGGAGUGAUGAGGGUUUACAGCUAAUUCAUAGUAUUAAAAAACUUUGUGAAUCAUUAAAUUAUAAAUUGGCCUGUGAUGAAGGCACACUGGCUCCUUGGAAACUGACUUCACUUUGCUUGGAGUAGAAUUCUGGAGCCCACCCCCAAGGGCUAGGGAUAGGACCCCAUUGACCUCAUAUUUGCGCCAAGCCCAGCUGGAGAAACGGGAGAGAAUUGAGGGUGGCCUUCAGCGUUCCCAUAAACUACCUUUUUGUCCCUUAGCCGUUGAACUCUUAAACCUCCUUUCUUAUACAAAUUUGGACUUGAGACCAUGAGCGGAGCUGUUACCUGCCAACCUGCCUACAUGUCAGCGGUGAUGCCAGGCUACUUCAAUUAUUUGUAUUCUUGCUGCAUUGCAUCCCUAUUAUUUCAUUAGGAAUUAGUAGAACUUUAAAAAGUUUCUUUGCAUCUCGAUUUCUCUCUCCAACAUGAGAGUCGUUAUUCCUCAUGGAGGAUUCGCUAGUUUAAUUAAAACAGGCUGUUUCUCCUAUUGCACCCAAGAGGAAAAUGGGCAUUACUGAUCUGUUCCGCACUCUGUCCCCUCACUCGCUGCCGUUCUCUUCUCUGGGCUGGUCUCUGAAGGCUGCCUGCAGUGCUGGAGUGGGCAGGGUGGCUGCGGGCUGGCUGAGGACGCUUCGUCCUUCCUUCUGCGGAGUGCAUGUGAGACCAGGCCACGCCAGGAAACCCCCUGAGGGCAGUGGGCACCACCUCUGGCCACUUGACUAACCCCGGGGCAGUAAGAUCUGGACCGCAAAGGGCCAUUUCCCUCUGCAGGAUGGAGGCAGCCAGAGGCAGCCACAGUGUGGGGAGAGUGGGAGAGGUACGGGGACGUGUCCUCUCUGAAGGGUGUGCCUGUGAAUUUUAGAAAAUGGAUUCUCUAGCAAUUAAUUAUUUAUAAAUGAAUGACCACACUCACAGGACAUCAGUCGAGGCUGUCAGCAAAAUAGAAAGCUGACCCGUCAGACGAAAAGGUAUUUUCUGGAAACCUCUGACUUCCCGGAGACCAGCACUGUUGGUAAAUUCUUUAACUGGAGUUUUAUAAGUCAAAAAGCUUCCCUCUUUCCAACAUGUGUCACUACUUUCUUUUUAUUGAAAAGUAUCAAAAAUGUAAUAGUAGUAAUGAAUUAUAGUAGCCAUUUUUUAAUGCUGUUAUUCUUAAAAUGUAUUUUAUGUCCUACCUCAGAGCAAUGGGGAGGCAAUGGGAAGGCAAUGGGAAGGCAAUAGGGAGGCAUAGCUUAAUGGGCACAGAAUUUCAGCUUGAGAGGAUGAAACAAUUCUGGAAUGGAUGGUGGUGAUGGCCGCACAACAGUGUGAAUGUACUUAAUGCCACUUAAAAAUUGUUAAAAUGGUGAAUUUUAUGUUCAUAUAGUUUACCGAAAUAAAAAUUUUAAAAAGCAAAUGUUAAAUAAAGAGUGGACCAAUGUCAAGUCGAGGCCUCCAUAGGAUGCUAAACAAAUGUGUAAUGUGAGGUCACCUUGGAACAUAAACUCUUCAAAGACAGGAGUGGGUUCCUUAGCACCUGAAAGUCCAUCCCACACUGGGUACCACCCAUCGCCUGUGAACGAGGGCACAGCACCUCCUAACCCACCCUGCUCCCCAUGCCAUCCUAAGACCACAGGCCUCCUGACACCCUCUGGCUCCCUCUCUCGCCCCUGCCGGCUGGCUCUCAGGGCUGACUCCCUUCCAGCCCCCACUGACUGCUUACUAAGUCUCAGUGUCAACAACCCACAGCUUCAGAAGGUUGAGCUAUGCCUAAUUCCCUCAGGCCAGGGUCUUGGAAAAAAGUGAUGAGGGUUUACAGCUAAUUUUUAGUAUUAAAAACCUUUAAUCAUUAAGUUAUAAAUUGGCCUGUGACAAGGGCACAUUGGCUCAUUGGAAACUGACUUUGCCUUGCUUGGACUAUAAUUCUAUCAUCUGUGUGCUAAUUGCGUCUCUCACAGGCUGCUCAGAAUUCUGGUUGACAUGUGUCUAAAAGAGAGAGAAAAGGAAUUCCUGCUUGCUUUAGUUUGACAGAUAAAGCCUCUCAAACAUGGAAGGGUGACCAAGAGGCAGUCAUGGCCACUCCCGUGGGUCCCCACUGGUCUAGGUGACUUUUAACUUGCUUCUGGAAGCAAAGUGCUAAGGCUGUGUUUGCAGCUCUUUGUCUGCACUGACAGAGUGAGAGAGACGCAGACACAGCAAAUGACCCCUGAGCAUGGGGCCCUGAAGACACUGGACAGGCGUGGACAAAUACUGCUAUCCUUGCCAACCCUCUCCUGGUGCUAGACUGCCCUCCUGUGGUCCCCCGACAGCACAGGCUCCCAUCUCAGACUCUAUGGGUGCCACAUCAUGGGCAAACUUCCGGGCAUGUCCACUGCCAUUUCUAAAACCCUCCAUGUCCUGUUCUCAAGGGGCCCAAGUGCUGUAUCCAUCCAGGCCUCAGUGAGUGGGCAUGUGUCAAUAAGCCCAUAGGCUAAAGAGGGCCUUCUGCAGAAGCCGUGUGUUUCCCUGAAGAAGCAGCUCUGAUCGAAGCAAACAAAUGACAACAAACACAACAGAUCCUCUCACUAGUACGCAACUGCCAGCUUCAGAGCAGACGGCCCCGAUGAAACGUGUCCUCCUCCAGCUGUGAGCCACCACGCAAUGAUAGACCCUCCAUCAGUGCGUGACAAACCUCGUGUCCUCCCACCCGCUCACCUGCGGUGCGGUAGCAAGGUGUGUGCUGCAGC
rnacentral:lncRNA from 1 species